GCAGCAGCGGCAGGAGGGCCACGUUCUGGCUGCUGGCACUACGCGCGGAAGACCAUGUCCGGGGGCAGCAGCUGCAGCCAGACCCCGAGCCGGGCCAUCCCCGCCACUCACCGGGUCGUCCUCAGCGACAGCGUGCAG